UACGUAGGGGGCAAGCGUUGUCCGGAAUCAUUGGGCGUAAAGAGCGUGUAGGCGGCCCGAUAAGUCCGCUGUGAAAGUCCAGGGCUCAACCCUGGGAUGCCGGUGGAUACUGUCGGGCUCGAGUCCGGAAGAGGAGUGUGGAAUUCCUGGUGUAGCGGUGAAAUGCGUAGAGAUCGGCAGGAACACCCAGGGGGAAACCAGUCGACUGGGCAUCUACUGACGCUGAGGUGCGAGAGCGUGGGGAGCGAACCGG
rnacentral:rRNA from 1 species